AUGCCGGAGUGCUUGCACUUUGGUAGACUGAGUGGCGGACGGGUGAGUAACGCGUGGGUAACCUGCCUUAUACAGGGGGAUAACAGUUGGAAACGACUGCUAAUACCGCAUAAGCGCACGGUAUCGCAUGAUACAGUGUGAAAAACUCCGGUGGUAUAAGAUGGACCCGCGUCUGAUUAGCUUGUUGGUGAGGUAACGGCCCACCAAGGCGACGAUCAGUAGCCGGCCUGAGAGGGUGAACGGCCACAUUGGGACUGAGACACGGCCCAAACUCC
rnacentral:rRNA from 1 species